rnacentral:rRNA from 1 species
UACGAAGGGGCUAGCGUUGCUCGGAAUCACUGGGCGUAAAGGGUGCGUAGGCGGCCUGGUAAGUCUGGCGUGAAAGCCCAGGGCUCAGCCCUGGAAGGGCGCUAGAAACUGCGAGGCUGGAGUGCCGGAGGGGAGAGUGGAAUUCCUGGUGUAGCGGUGAAAUGCGUAGAGUAUCUGGAGGAAUACCGGUGGCGAAGGCGGCAUCCGUGGACCGACAUUGACGCUGAUGGAGCGA